rnacentral:misc_RNA from 1 species
GAUGAAGAACGCAGCGAAUUGCGAUAUGUAAUGUGAAUUGCAGAUUUUCAGUGAAUCAUCGAAUCUUUGAACGCACAUUGCGCCCCUUGGUAUUCCAUGGGGCAUGCCUGUUCGAGCGUCAUUUGUACCUUCAAGCUUUGCUUGGUGUUGGGUGUUUGUCUCGCCUUUGCGUGUAGACUCGCCUUAAAAUAAUUGGCAGCCGGCGUAUUGAUUUCGGAGCGCAGUACAUCUCGCGCUUUGCACUCAUAACGACAGCGUCCAAAAGUACAUUUUACACUCUUGACCUCGGAUCAGGUAGGGAUACCCGCUGAACUUAAGCAUAUCAAUAAGCGGAGGA